rnacentral:misc_RNA from 1 species
GAUGAAGAACGCAGCGAAAUGCGAUAAGUAGUGUGAAUUGCAGAAUUUAGUGAAUCAUCGAAUCUUUGAACGCACAUUGCGCCCUUUGGUAUUCCUUAGGGCAUGCCUGUUCGAGCGUCAUCUACACCCUCAAGCACAGCUUGGUGAUGGGCGCCUGUCCCGCCCCCCACGGGGGCGCGGACUCGCCUCAAAUGCAUUGGCGGCCGGCGACCUGGCUUCGAGCGCAGCAGAAACGCGUACUCGGGGACCGGGCGCCCGCUCCCAGAAGCCAACCCACACAGUUUGACCUCGGAUCAGGUAGGGAUACCCGCUGAACUUAAGCAUAUCAAUAAGCGGAGGA